AUUGAACGCUGGCGGCAGGCUUAACACAUGCAAGUCGAGCGAGCGGCGGACGGGUGAGUAAUGUCUGGGAAACUGCCUGAUGGAGGGGGAUAACUACUGGAAACGGUAGCUAAUACCGCAUACCAUCAGAUGUGCCCAGAUGGGAUUAGGUAGUAGGUGGGGUAAUGGCUCACCUAGUCGACUAUCCCUAGCUGGUCUGAGAGGAUUACACGCCACACUGGAACAGAGACACGGUCCAGACACAUACGGGAGGCAGCAGUGGGGAAUAUUGCACAAUGGGCGCAAGCCUGAUGAAGCCAUGCCGCGUGUGUGAAGAAGGCCGUCGGGUUGUAAAGCACUUUCAGCGAGGAGGCGUUACUCGCAGAAGACGCACCGGCUAACUCCGUGCCAGCAGCCGCGGUAAUUC
rnacentral:rRNA from 1 species